AAUAAGCGGAGGAAAAGAAACCAACAGGGAUUCCCUUAGUAACGGCGAGUGAACCGGGAAAAGCUCAAAUUUGAAAUCUGCCAACAGGCCGAGUUGUAAUUUGUAGAUGGCUACACUGCAUAAUAGUAGAUGCUCAAGUUCUUUGGAAAAAGACAUCAUGGAGGGUGACAAUCCCGUGAGGCAUGUUACUAGGAGCAUAUAGUGGGCUUUCUAAGAGUCGAGUUGUUUGGGAAUGCAGCUCAAAGUGCGUGGUGAAUACCAUGUAAAGCUAAAUAUGGACGAGAGACCGAUAGCGAACAAGUACUGUGAAGGAAAGAUGAAAAGCACUCCGAAAGGAGAGUGAAAUAGUACGUGAAAUUGUUAAAGUGGAAGGGCUUGAGAUCAGAAUUGGUAGUUUGGGUUCCACGUCCUCUUGGGGGCGUGUACUCCCUUUCCACCGGGCCAGCGGGAGUUUCGUCUCUUGGGUAAAAGCAGUGGAAUGUAGCAGCUUGUCUGUAUUAUAGCCUCUGUUCAUACAAGACGUCGAGACUUG
rnacentral:rRNA from 1 species